rnacentral:rRNA from 1 species
UACGGGGGGGGCAAGCGUUGUUCGGAAUUACUGGGCGUAAAGGGUUCGUAGGUGGCCAACUAAGUCAGACGUGAAAUCCCUCAGCUUAACUGGGGAACUGCGUCUGAGACUGGAUGGCUUGAGUGCAGGAGAGGAACGCGGAAUUCCAGGUGUAGCGGUGAAAUGCGUAGAUAUCUGGAGGAACACCGGUGGCGAAGGCGGCAUCCUGGACCAACACUGACGCUGAGGAGCGAAAGCCAGGGGAGCAAACAGG